GGCCGGCCUGAGUGCAGUGAUGUUUACAACUCAUCACACCAGUUACAAUUUCUCUGUUCCUUCUGUACUCCCACUGCUUUACUUGACUAGCCUUAA
rnacentral:Y_RNA from 1 species